rnacentral:rRNA from 1 species
GGGAGCUUGUACAGGUGCUGCAUGGCUGUCGUCAGCUCGUGUCGUGAGAUGUUCGGUUAAGUCCGCUAACGAGCGCAACCCUCGCUGUGUGUUACAAGUGUCACACGGAACUGCCGGUCAUAAACCGGAGGAAGGUGGGGAUGACGUCAAGUCAGCAUGGCCUUUAUAUCCUGGGCUACACACACGCUACAAUGGGAAGGGACAAUAGGUUGCGAAGCCGCAAGGUGGAGCCAAUCCUCAAAGUUGGCCUCAGUUCAGAUUGUAGGCUGCAACUCGCCUGCAUGAAGAUGGAGUUGCUAGUAAACGCAGGUCAGCUAUACUGCGUUGAAUACGUUCCCGGGGCUU